rnacentral:rRNA from 1 species
GACGAACGCUGGCGGCGUGCUUAACACAUGCAAGUCGAACGGAAAGGCCCUGCUUUUGUGGGGUGCUCGAGUGGCGAACGGGUGAGUAACACGUGAGUAACCUGCCCUUGACUUUGGGAUAACUUCAGGAAACUGGGGCUAAUACCGGAUAGGAGCUCCUGCUGCAUGGUGGGGGUUGGAAAGUUUCGGCGGUUGGGGAUGGACUCGCGGCUUAUCAGCUUGUUGGUGGGGUAGUGGCUUACCAAGGCUUUGACGGGUAGCCGGCCUGAGAGGGUGACCGGCCACAUGGGGACUGAGAUACGGCCCAGUGGCCUACGGGAGGCAACAGGGGGAAAUAUUGCACAGUGAGCGGGAGCCGGAUGCAGCAACGCUGCGUGCGGGAUGACGGUCUGCGGGUUGUGAACCGCUGUCGCCUGUGACGAAGCGUGAGUGACGGUAAUGAGUAAAUAAGCACCGGCUAACUACGUG